CGGCCACAUCAUGUUGAAACUCCGCUUCCCGUACAAUCACCGAAGUUAAGCAACUUCGCCUGGUCAGUACCUAGAUGGGUGACUGCUUGGGAAUACCAAGUGCCGUAA